rnacentral:rRNA from 1 species
CAGAAUCCCGCCUAGACGUAACGAUACCAUAGUGCCGCGGAACUUCGGUUGGCCACGGAUAGCCGGCUCCGGCCGGUGAGCAGUGCCGUUCGUGAAAGGGCUGGGGUGCGUUCGGAUGGCGUUCGCCCCUCCCCUCUCUCGCAUCACAUGUUUGUGGAGANCCUGGUGCUAAAUGACCUGCAGACGACCUGAUUCUGGGUCAGGGUUUCGUGCGUCGNAGAGCAGCUCACUCGCUGCGAUCU